rnacentral:rRNA from 1 species
GCAGUAGCCGCGGUAAUACAGAGGGUGCGAGCGUUAAUCGGAUUUACUGGGCGUAAAGCGUGCGUAGGCGGCUUUUUAAGUCGGAUGUGAAAUCCCUGAGCUUAACUUAGGAAUUGCAUUCGAUACUGGGAAGCUAGAGUAUGGGAGAGGAUGGUAGAAUUCCAGGUGUAGCGGUGAAAUGCGUAGAGAUCUGGAGGAAUACCGAUGGCGAAGGCAGCCAUCUGGCCUAAUACUGACGCUGAGGUACGAAAGCAUGGGGAGCAAACAGGAUUAGAUACCCGCGUAGUCCCUGUCUCUUAUAA